AGGAAAAAAAUAAAGUUUUUCUAGGGGCUUUUUAAAUAAUGCUGAUUUAGCGAGUGCUCCAAAUUGUUGUUGUUUAUUGCUCAAAUGGAUGCAGCUAGACGUAUUAUAUAUAUGUACCUAUAUAUAGCGGAUGAGCAUUGCGUGGCGUAGUUGUUGUUGUGGCUAGUUUUCUAUGGGGCAUGUGGAAGCCCGUAUGUAUAUGGGCCACAAACAUGUGUGUGCGUGUGUGUGUGUGUGUGGCACAAACCCUUUGCAGCCGCCAAACGAGCUAAUUUUGAUGAUAUCCACAGUCGAGCAGACAGUCGCAUUGUGCAAUAUUUGGUCGCGUGGCCUCCUUUACUAUCUCCAGCGAGCGGCUGCUUGUUUGUGUGCGGCCCUCCUUGGGAUAAACCAAAUUCGAGCCAAGUGGAAGUCAAAGUUAAAAAGCGGCUCAUUAGCGACUCCUGUUUGUAUCUGUGUGUGUGCGUGUGUAUUUUUCGGGGUGUCUGGUUGUAUCCAUAUUAAUUUACAGUUGAUUCAACAACAGGAAGGACGCAAAAAAUGCCGAAUGCAAUAAUUAAAAUGCAAUAACAACAACAAGCAGCAGGCUUCACUGCCAACAACAAUCUGCUAGCCCAGUAUUCAGUUCUUACUGCCCCUUGUACUUACAUACUUCGAAUGCCUGGGCCAACAGGCUGUUGGGGUAUAUUCAACAAAUUUUAUUUUUCACAAACUUCAAAAUAAGUGAUUUUCAAUUUUAUGUAUUUUUGUAAUAAUUAAUUAAAGUUAAGAUCAACUAGAAAUUCAUUAUUUA